rnacentral:lncRNA from 1 species
GUAAACUAAAAACUUCUAUUGUAGAUAGCUAUUUUGUUUAUGACUAUUUCCAGUAAUGCUUGACUAACUAACUGUCUAAUUGUAUGAAAUUCUUGAUUAUGUUUGAUGCAUCUUAAAUUUAUAUGUUGUUUGUUUGGUACCUUCAAGUCUCAGUAGAACAUAUGGUAAAUGCCAGGUAAAAAUGUACUCAGUUUCAAUUUGUUUGGCCUACUUUGACAUUGCACAAAAUUUUAAAAAUAAAGAAAUUUCUUAAUCUUCUACCUCCCCGGGGUAGUGAUAAGGUUUUUGUAUGCUCUACCCCCCUCAAAUAGACUCAUUUGUAUGAUUACACAGGGUAUGUUGUUCUUGUUAUCUAAAUAGUAUGAUUUGCCUUCUUAUUAUGAAAAGGGGAAAAAGAAAAAAAAAGGAAUAUUUUUCAUACUCAUGAUUGACUGCCUGUGGUCGCUUCUUAGUUUUGCUUCGGGAGUAGUCCUUUGAACGUGUGUGUGCCUUGUAUCUCCUUGCUGCUGCUUUGAUAUUGCCACCGGGUAUACCCUUAUAUUUUUUUAUUUUUUAUUUUUAUUUUUUAUUUUUUUUUUUUUCAUGUAGUUGUGGCUGUGGGUGGUAAUGGGUGGUUAGGGUCAUGUCCGGGGGGCUUGGGGCAUGGGGCCGUGGUGGGGGCGAAGGAUGAGGAAAGGGCGGAAGGGGGAGGGGGGCCAAGAUUUGGCCACGGGGGGGGGGGGGGGGGGGGGGGAGGGGGGGGGGGGGNNNNNNNNNNNNNNNNNNNNNNNNNNNNNNNNNNNNNNNNNNNNNNNNNNNNNNNNNNNNNNNNNNNNAGUGGGGGGCGCGUGGAUAGCGACGGUAGGCUGAGGGUUGGGUCUUGGAAUAUAGGGACCCUUCAGGGGAAGUCCAUAGAGCUGGUGAAGAUUCUUAGGAAGAGAAGGAUCAACCUUGCGUGUGUCCAAGAGACCAAGUGGGUAGGGUCUAAGGCUAGGGAUGUGGACGGUUACAAGCUGUGGUACUCUGGGAGCGACAGGCGUAGGAAUGGAGUUGGCAUCUUGGUAGAUGAAGAGCUUAGAGGUCAGGUAGUGGAGGUGAAGAGGAUCAACGAUAGGUUGAUGACUAUUAAGUUGGUCAUUCGGGGGUUUACCCUGAACGUGUGUAGUGCCUAUGCGCCGCAUGUGGGAUCGGAGGGGGAGGAGAAGAUGCGGUUCUGGGAGGCUUUGGAGGAGGUGGUGAGAGGCGUGCCCAGUUCGGAGAAGAUUGUUGUAGCAGGGGAUUUCAACGGGCACAUCGGGGCGCUACCGGGAGGCUUUGGGGAUGUGCAUGGUGGUUUUGGUUUUGGGGAGAGAAAUGAAGAGGGGGCGACCCUAUUGGAGUUUGCGAGGGCGUUUGGGCUGGUGGUGGUGAACUCGGGCUUCCCGAAGAAGGACGAGCACCUGAUCACUUUUCGGAGCGCGAUAGCCAGGACCCAGAUUGACUUUUUGUUGCUUAGGAAAGGGGAUAGGGCGUUGUGUAAAGACUGUAAAGUCAUCCCGAGUGAGAAUCUUUCGACCCAACAUAGGCUCUUGGUUAUGGAUUUGGGUAUAAAGAAGAAUAGAAAGAGGAGGAGUAAGGAGUGUAGUCCGAGAAUUAAGUGGGGCGGUUUGACGCCAGUGAAUGCGUGGGAGAUAGGGGAGAGGUUGGCGGUAAUGGGGGUGUGGGAGUGUAGGGGGGAUGUCGAUAAUAUGUGGGACAGGGCGGCAACGUGCAUCAGAGAGAAUGCAAGGGAGGUGUUGGGUGUUUCUAGGGGCCGGGCCGGACAUCAUCGGGGGGAUUGGUGGUGGAAUGAAGAGGUGGGGAAGAAAGUGGAGACCAAGAAAGAGGCGUAUGCUAAGUUGGUGGAAAGUAAGGACGAAGAAGAGAAGCGGGUAAACAGGAAAGAGUACAAGCUAGCAAGGAAGGAGGCGAAGUCAGCGGUCACGGCAGCUAAGACGGCCGCUUUUGAGAGCUUGUAUGCAGGGUUACAGGGGAAAGGAGGGGAGAAAAAGUUGUUCCGACUCGCUAAGGCUAGGGAGAGGAAGGGUCGUGACCUCGAUCAGGUGCGGUGCAUUAAGGGGGAGGACGGUAGAGUGUUGGUGGAGGACGGCCACAUAAAGAAGAGAUGGCAGUCGUACUUUCAUAGGCUCUUGAAUGACGAGGGGGACAGAGCUAUUGUGUUAGGGGAACUGGAGCACUCAGGGGAGUGUCGGGAUUUUAGCUAUUGUAGACGUUUUAAGGUAGACGAGGUUAGACAGGCAGUCCGCAGGAUGCGAAGGGGUAGGGCGACGGGGCCGGAUGAGAUACCGGUGGAGUUUUGGAAGUUCGUUGGAGAGGCUGGUGUAAGGUGGUUGACUGCAUUGUUCAAUGAAAUUUUCAGGACAGCAAAGAUGCCCGAGGCGUGGAGGUGGAGUACCAUGAUCCCCCUCUAUAAGAAUAAGGGGGACAUUCAGUGUUGCAAUAACUAUAGGGGGAUUAAGUUACUGAGUCACUCUAUGAAGAUCUGGGAGAGAGUGGUCGAGGUGAGGCUGAGACGGAUAGUGUCUAUCUCGGAAAACCAGUUCGGAUUUAUGCCCGGCCGCUCGACGACGGAGGCAAUUCACCUGGUACGGCGGUUGGUGGAGCAAUAUAGGGAAAGGAAGAAGGAUUUGCACAUGGUGUUCAUCGACCUAGAAAAGGCGUACGACAAAGUCCCCAGGGAGGUGCUUUGGAGAUGCUUGGAGGUGAGUGGAGUACCGCAGGCAUAUAGCAGAGUAAUUAAGGAUAUGUAUGAGGGAGCGAAAACCCAGGUGAGGACGGCGGGAGGAGACUCAGAGCAUUUCACUGUCCUGACAGGAUUGCAUCAGGGAUCUACUCUUAGUCCCUUUUUGUUUGCGCUAGUAAUGGAUGUGUUAACGCGGCGUAUCCAAGGGGAGGUGCCGUGGUGUAUGCUUUUUGCAGACGAUGUAGUCCUGAUAGAUGAGACGCGAGGGGGUGUGAACGACAAAUUAGAGCUGUGGAGGCAAACUCUGGAGUCUAAAGGGUUCAGGGUGAGCAGAACCAAGACAGAGUAUGUGGAAUGUAAGUUUAAUGACGUAAGGCGAGAGAAUGAGGUAGUGGUGAGGCUAGAAGCGCAGGAGGUAAAGAAAAGGGAUAAGUUCAAGUACCUCGGGUCCGUGAUCCAGAGUAACGGUGAGAUUGACGAGGAUGUCUCGCACCGUAUCGGGGCGGGAUGGAUGAAGUGGAAACUUGCAUCGGGGGUGCUGUGUGAUAAGAAGGUGCCGCCCAAGCUUAAAGGUAAAUUCUAUAGGGUGGUAGUCCGUCCGGCCUUGCUGUAUGGAGCGGAGUGUUGGCCAGUUAAGAACUCCCACACCCAAAGAAUGAAGGUGGCAGAAAUGCGGAUGUUGCGCUGGAUGUGUGGACUGACCCGAAGGGAUAGAGCUCGGAAUGAGACUAUCCGGGAGAAGGUUGGGGUGACUUCAGUGGAGUGUAAGAUGCGGGAAGCACGAUUGAGAUGGUUCGGACACGUGAAGAGGAGGGGCAUGGAUGCCCCGGUCCGUAGGUGUGAGAGGCUAGCGUUGGAUGGUUUUAGACGGGGUAGGGGUAGACCGAAGAAGUACUGGGGUGAGGUGAUUAGGCGGGACAUGGAACAGUUACAGCUUACCGAGGACAUGACCCUAGAUAGGAAGGUCUGGAAGACGCGAAUUACGGCAGAGGAUUAGGGCCUGUUCGGGUCGCUAAUGUAGGGAGGUAAUUGGUGGGGGUGUAUUCCUGGUAUGAUUCCGUAUUCAAUGUUCUGUUCCGUGUUCCGUGUUCUAUGUUUGUUACGAAUCUGUGUGCUUUCCUCUGCUUUAUAUUCCUGCAUCCCUGCUUUACUCUGUUUUAUAUUCCUUAUGGCUGCAGUAUCUAUGUUAUGUCAUCUGCUUCUGUGCUGUACUAUGUGUUUGUUUGAUAUCUCGUAACUUGAGCCGGGGGUCUUUCGGAAACAGCCUUUCUACUUCAUCAGAGGUAGAGGUAUGGACUGCGUACAUCUUACCCCCCAGACCCCACUAAGUGGGAAUACACUGGGUUUGUUGUUGUUGUUGUUGUUGAUGAUUGAAGUUUGUCAUUGUUUAUCAUUUAACACUUAGCUUUAUGUGUUUUCCUUCAACUUUGUAGUUUUCUCUUCUUCUUUUCUCUAGAGAAAGUUAAUGUGGGGAGUGUGUUGUAGCAACACCUAAGUUGAAGUAUAAAGUGCUCUUACCAACUAGAAUUAUAUUUUCUAAAGCUGAAGGAAGUUUGAACAACUUAUAUAGCAUAAUAGCUUUAACCCAUGAUCAACUUUGUGAACUCCCUUAAGCUGUGGAAGUUCACAUUUUUCAUUCUUUCGCAGUUUUGCAUAAGACGAUUAUUACAUUGAAAUGUACGUAUAGAACCUUUUACUUGAUCAUUUUCGUGAUAUAUCUCAACAAUAUUUUGUGGCCAUUAAAUGUCACUUGCAUUUGAAUUUCAGGGA